CUAAUAUUGCACCAAAGCAUUAUAACGUAUCAAUAAAUGGGUACCCAAUGAUAGUACACGACAUUGAUUUGGUGCAAUAUUAGGUAAGUCUUUAGAAUAAAAUAUGUUUAAGCUACGGAAAACACCUCAUCAGGGAUGCAAUUGCACUUCUUAUUUGCCUGUGACAUUAAACAUACGUAUGCUUGAUCUAUCAUAUGACUGCAUAUAUGGAAGCAACUCCAACGGCCUUAGAGUUUCAGUUAUGUCUGUGACUGCAAGGUCAGCCAGUUCUGCAAGUUGGAGAAAAUAACUGAAGGUUUCAAUAUUGCGAAUGACUGCAGCAAUAUAAGCCACAGGUGAUUUCUUUAGUCCAUCUUUUGAAGAACCAUUCUCUAGUCUCUCAACUAGAGGAACAUCAACUUCACAGCCAAUUUGAUCUGCCUUGCUUUUCA
rnacentral:misc_RNA from 1 species